rnacentral:rRNA from 1 species
CCUACGGGAGGCAGCAGUGGGGAAUAUUGCGCAAUGGGCGAAAGCCUGACGCAGCGACGCCGCGUGAGGGAUGAAGGUCUUCGGAUCGUAAACCUCUGUCUGCAGGGAAGAACGGUCACUGUGCUAAUCAGCCGUGAAUUGACGGUACCUGCAAAGGCAGCACCGGCUCACUCCGUGCCAGCAGCCGCGGUAAUAAGGGGGGUGCGUGCGUUGAUCGGAAUUACUGGGCGUAAAGCGCUCGUAGGCGGUAUGUCAAGUCAAGGGUGAAAUCCCCGCGCUCAACGUGGGAACUGCCGUUGAAACUGGGGAACUGGAGUGUGUGAGAAGAGAGUGGAAUUCCAGGUGUAGGAGUGAAAUCCGUAGAUAUCUGGAGGAACAUCAGUGGCGAAGGCGACUAGCUGGAACAUAACUGACGCUGAGGAGCGAAAGCGUGGGUAGCAAACAGGAUUAGAUACCCGUGUAGUC